UUGGAGGGCAAGUCUGGUGCCAGCAGCCGCGGUAAUUCCAGCUCCAAUAGCGUAUAUUAAAGUUGUUGCAGUUAAAAAGCUCGUAGUUGAAUUUCGGGGUUCUACCGUUGGUCGGGCUUUGUCUGUACUGGUGUGUAGAAUUUCUACCUUCUGGGGAACCAUCAUGCUAUUAAUUUAGCGUGGUGGGAAACCAGGACCUUUACCUUGAAAAAAUUAGUGUGUUCAAAGCAGGCUUAUGUCUGAAUACAUUAGCGUGGAAUAAUAGAAUAGGACGGUGGUCCUGUUUUGUUGGUUUCUGAAUCACCGUAAUGAUUAAUAGGGAUAGUUGGGGGCAUUAGUAUUCAGUUGUCAGAGGUGAAAUUCUUGGAUUUAUUGAAGACUAACUUCUGCGAAAGCAUUUGCCAAGGAUGUUUUCAUUAAUCAAGAACGAAAGUUAGGGGAUCGAAGACGAUCAGAUACCGUCGUAGUCUUAACCAUAAACUAUGCCGACUAGGGAUCGGACGAUGUUAAUUUUUCUUGACUCGUUCGGCGCCUUACGGGAAAC
rnacentral:rRNA from 1 species